UUUGCUAAUAAUAUUGGCUACACUGCUGAAAAGAAACCUUGGGUUGCUCUUAUUUUCUUCAAUUAGUGAUGAGUAAUGGUCUGAUCUGGAAUUUCUGAGGGCCUUCCAUUAUUCUUUCAGACUGUCUUG